UACGGAGGGUGCAAGCGUUAUCCGGAUUUACUGGGUUUAAAGGGUGUGUAGGCGGACUUUUAAGUCCGUGGUGAAAUCUCCGGGCUCAACCCGGAAACUGCCAUGGAUACUAUUGGUCUUGAAUGUUGUGGAGGUGGGCGGAACGGGUCAUGUAGCGGUGAAAUGCUUAGAGAUGACCCGGAACACCGAUUGCGAAGGCAGCUGGCUACGCGAAUAUUGACACUGAUGCACGAAAGCGUGGGGAUCAAACAGG
rnacentral:rRNA from 1 species